CCUACGGGAGGCAGCAGUAGGGAAUAUUGCUCAAUGGGCGAAACCCUGAACCAGCAAAGUCGCGUGGAGGAUGAAGGCCCUAGGGUUGGUAACCCUCUUUUUUAGAGAAGUAAAUGGCGGCACGUAUGGCAUAAGCACCGGCCAACGCCGUGCCAGCAGCCGCGGUAACACGGCGGGCGCAAGCGUUAUUCGGAAUCACUGGGCGUAAAGGGGGCGUAGGGGGGUUAGAAAGUCAGUUGUGAAAUCCUAUGGCUUAAACAUAGAAUUGCAUUUGAAACUGUUAUUCUAGAGUUUAGGAGAGGUAGGUGGAAUGCGUGGUGUAGGGGUGAAAUGCAUAGAGAUCACGAAGAAUACUGAUUGCGAAGGCAGCCUGCUAGAACGUGACUGACGCUGAUGCGCGAAAGCGUGGGGAGCAAACAGGAUUAGAUACCCUUGUAGUC
rnacentral:rRNA from 1 species